rnacentral:tRNA from 1 species
GCCCUCGUAGCUUAAUAGCAUAGCGUGAGGUUUGUAACCUCAAGGUCGGGGGUGCAAAUCCCUCCGAGGGCU